rnacentral:snRNA from 1 species
ACACUCUGGUUUCUCUUCAGAUCAAAUAACUAUUUUGCCUUUUACUAAAGAUUUCCAUGGAGAGAUGGAGUAAUAGAUCUAGUAAUGACUACUGCCUUUAACCUCUUAGCGCCCAGAGGG